rnacentral:misc_RNA from 1 species
UAUCGCUAGUUGAUCGUUUCCCUUUUUUGUAAACUAACUUUAGUUUCUUUCUGAAUUAUUGCUUAAUAGUUUCAUUGAAUAUUCUUUCUUGUAUAUUCUGGGUAUUCUUGUUCUUUUACUUUUUCCCUACAAAUCUAGCCAAAGGUGAUAAUCGUUUUGUUUGUUGAUGGGAAAAUAGAGGAAAAAUAUGGGAAAAGAAGUGUUAUUGUGAAAUUCAUUGGAAAAAGGGCAAAAAAAAGUAUGUUGACUCUGCUAGUGGUUGGCGAAAGUUUGGGGUUUUUUGAGGUCCCAGUAGGAAGGAACGAAAGAAGUUUCGUUUUGUGCUUGUAUAGUUUCUAUUCGUUUUCUUCUUCAUCAGAAACCAAACUUCAGUGAGCUUGAUUGUGUGUCUAGAAUUGUGUUUUCUUUGAUCUUAAUUGUUGGGUUUUGAUUUUGCAGGACAGAUACAGAAUUUGCAGCUCCAGCGAGUAUACCCAGGUGGAGACUUUGGUCACAGCGUUGUUUCCUUUACCCUUGGAUUGAGUCACAAUGCAUCCUCCAAUUGCUCCUGUUCCUGAAAUUGCUGUUGAUUUUACUAAUGAGGAGCUCUUUAUCUCUUUGGAGAAAAUGAUGGGUGGAUAUCCUCCUCCAGCCAACGUGAUUACUGAUGUCAAUCCAUACAACUAUGCACCAUCAAAUUUACCAGCUGGAAUUUGGUACUUGAUUCGCUCCAAGGAGAAGGGGGCUAUGGAAGUUGGAUCCUGGAAGGUCAAAGGGGAAGCCUGUAAACUAUUUUGGAACUCUUCCAUCACUGGUUGGAGGACCACCCUUGAAUAUUUUGAGGGCCAAGUGCCUCAUGAGCGUAAAACUGAUUGGGUGAUGCAAGAGUACUGGAUAAUGGGGCCAGUUGAAAACAGCAAGGUGAAGGUAAUUAAUGGAAUAUGCUAACUCUGUAUGCUUUAGGUGACAUUUUUUAUUUUAUUUUCAUUCUCCUCCAAACCUGCCAGUCAACUGCCAGUUUGGUUGGACAUUUUGCAGGAAGCCAGUUCACUAUGCAGAGUCUUUCUUAGUGGUGAACAAGGUCCAGAUCAUAAAAAGCAGCAGAAAAAGUCUAGCCUCCAUAUUGCAUGUGAAAUCCUCAUUCACUCAACACAGGCAACUGUUAAAAAGGCUCAUGUUGAUGCUAGCAGUGGUUCCACAAGCAGACCUGAGGUUUGUCAACUGUAAUUAUGGGCUUUGUGUUUGGCUGAUCAAGUUGGAUACUGCACCAUUUCCUUGCCAGUAGAUUUGUUUAUAUUCCUUUGCAGCUGUUGCUAUAAGGAGUUUGCACUGAUACUUUUCUUUGGGACAUUAGGUUUUUGGGAUGGCAUAGAUUUAUAACUUUUUGACUAGUUUUCACAAGGGAAUUACUCCACUUACAUCAUAAUGAUGGAGUUAUUUAAUUUUUGGGGGGGAAGGAAAGUUUUUUAGAGUUGCAAGUCCUAUGUUUGAAUACAUUUUAGAGCUGAACAAAUUUUCACAUUAGUCCCAACCUAAAAAUUUAUAUCAUCAGUAUUCCAAAUACUUAAAAUGCUAGCUGGGACUGUAAAGUGUUUUUUGUGGCAGUCACUCUUUAUAGCUCAACUGGUCAAGUUAUUUAGUGAUAGAAAAAACUGGGUAACUAAUGCAUAAAGAAUUUAUUAUAUGAAGAAUCAAAAUUCACAAAAAUCUAUAUUUUUUCUGCUACUAAGUGAAAUGUCAUUAGUACUCGUAGGAAUGUCAUAGUUCAAUAGACAGCCAAAGGACUAAAACUCUCUAGAGUUAAACGAGAAUCCAAUUAAAUAUGUAGAGACACCAUAUCUGUCACAAAGUACAGACCAAUAGAAAAUAUGAGUUGAUGAAAAGAUAAAGCACAAAAUAAGCAUAGCAACCUUAUCUGAAGAAGCUUCAGAUAGUAUGGGGUUUUCAAACAUAAAGCAGGAGGAUUGUCAGUCUGGCCUAGCAUUUCAAGCAUGGAGAAAAUAUUUAGGAUAAAAGUUUCUGAUUUUCAACUGUGGAUGGAAAAAAUAUUGCUUGGAGCAUUCCUGCAACCAAAUCCCUUGUCUCUCUCUGUUUUACAUGGGUCAUAGUUGCUCCACAACAUCAAAAUUUUUAUUUUUGUAGUAUGCCCCUCGUGAGUUGAAGUCUAGUAAUGUUAUUGUAGGUGGAUGGACAUGCUGAAACAGGAAAUUUGGCUGUGGCAGGAGAACCUCCAUUUUAUCAAGUAGAAAACCCACCAGAAAUUGACUAUAUUUCCAGAGGUGACUUCUUGGAACUGCUGGAUCUUGAUAAUCCAGCAUCAUCUUCUUCAAGUUCAGAUGAUUCAAGUUGCUUGACCUCAUCAUCAGAUGAAUGUUUUGACUCGUUGGCUUUGCUGGAACAACUAGAUUGUGAAAUUAACCAACACUCUCUACUGAAGAAUGAAAGUUGUAAGCUCAGCGUCUAUGCAUCUUUCAGACCAAAUGAGGUGGUUAUGGCUCCAGCAUCUCCAGGUUUGUCAAAUAUUAAUUCAUCUCUUGCUAUUUAUUUGUUCUCUUGAUCUGUAAUUUUUUCCAGUAUUCCAAAUUGUGGUGAAAAACCUACUUGAUAUUUGAUACCCAAUCAAGGGCUCUCCUGGAUCUAUCUUCCAUAAAAGAAGACUUCUGCUGGUAACUUUAUACCGUUGGUCUGAACACAAGUGAUUUUAAGAUAUGUGAUUUUUUAUUUCUCCUGCCAGUGCUAUCAUUUUUGUAGAAAGCUCUAGUGCUCAACACUGUUUGAUUUACAAUACCAUUGCAGUCAAAUGGAUUUAGGUUAACAAUACUCUGGUGCUUAUCUGAAUUAGAAAAACUUCAUCCUUUCCUUUUAGCCCUGCCAUGAUGAAAUUUUUUGACAUUUUUGGUUAGAGUCUGAAACAGCACAUAGCAAUACUGUGACAUCUAGUCUGAGGACUUAGUGAUUGGAAAUGGCAUAAAUUAGAACUCUUCAUUCCCAAUGAGUCUUCCUAGUUAUUUCAGUUCCUCCUUGGUAGCCAAAUGAAACCAGCAGAUAGACAUGAUGAGAUUUAAAAAUGCCAGUUACAGAUAGAUUUAAAUAUUAUCAUGUAGUUGAAAUUAUCCUUCUAUAUAGGCAUGGUGAAAUUUAGUUCCAAUUACAGAUAGAUUUAAAUAUUAUAUAGUUGAAAUUGUCCUUCUAUAGGUGGGGUUUAUGUGUUUGUUUUUUAAUUACGUAUGUGCUCUCAUAGAGUUGAUGUUGCUGUGUCUUUGGUUUGAGUUUCUCCUUUAUGCUUUAACUGGGAAGAAAGUUUCGAUUUUCACAUAAAAUAAUUUAAAUUGAUCAGAAACUUUUUCCUUUUCUUGGUCCAAAAGCCAUGAGCUCUUCUGCUAUUCUGUGGGAGGUAGCUCUCCCCCAUCCUCAAAAGUCAUAAAUCCCAACUCUUCCCAUUGUAAUGGUUCAAACCUGGGCUCCAAUUUGGAACUCCAAGUUUUGACCAUUGGACUGUCUCCUUGGAACCAGAAAACAUUUGUAUACAAGAAAGCAACUAACAGUGUUUUUUGUUUUCCUUACCAGCAGGAUCUUUUGUUAGAGUUGAAGAAAACAAGCCACCUACUGAAGAAAUUCUUGGAACUAAUCCAUCACUUCUACCCAUUUUGGCUAAUGGCUCUAAAGAUCUAGACAACAGAGUUUUACAGCAUGCAGUCAGAAGCCACAAUGCAGGUUACAUGGAUGAAGGUCCAUCAAAUUCUCAUGAUGUAGGUGCAUCUUCCAGUCGCUUGGGUCCAUCUCGAGAUGGAGAAAGGAAGGUUGCUAAGGUCAGGACGAAGAAACAUAAGAAGUAUCUAUGCUUCCUCUUCUAAUUUGACGCCUAUAGCUUCAUAAUCAUAGCUUGUGUAUGUUAAGUAAAUAGUAUUAUUAUCAACUGGGUCUAUUUUAUUUUGUGUUUACUUUAGUAUAUCGCAAUAGUAACUAGGUCAGGGACAGAAGACUUUAUAUGGGGAAAUUAUCAUAGUUUACUUUCUGUUCAGCUGACUAGUGAAUUUCAGACAGGACACAGCACAUAGAUAUAGGUAUUGUUUGAUGGAAACAACUAUAGCAUUCUGAUAUUAAAGAAUGAGGUAGGAAAUUGAUUACUUUGUUAUUUGUAAGGAUAAAUGCAUACUGUGCAUUCUUGUAAGCUCUGUUCACUUAUUGAUUUCUAUCUUUCUAUCCAAAUCCAACCAC